rnacentral:rRNA from 1 species
UACGAAGGGGGCUAGCGUUGUUCGGAAUUACUGGGCGUAAAGCGCACGUAGGCGGAAUGUUAAGUCAGGGGUGAAAUCCCGGGGCUCAACCCCGGAACUGCCUUUGAUACUGGCAUUCUCGAGUCCGGAAGAGGUGAGUGGAAUUCCGAGUGUAGAGGUGAAAUUCGUAGAUAUUCGCAAGAACACCAGUGGCGAAGGCGGCUCACUGGCCCGAUACUGACGCUGAGGCACGAAAGCGUGGGGAGCAAACAGG